UGCAUGUUAUGAUGCCAUUUCCAGCAGAGUUUAUGGACCCACAACGAUCAGUGCUGGUUUCACAGUGAAUGUAUGCUCAGAUAUUUCAACUUACACAGUGGCUGAUAUUAUGGUAAAUCUGCAUGUCAGUGUUUAUUGAACAUGGGCAAUUUUUGUUAGUCUUGACAUAGGAAUGCCAUGAGAAACAUUGAAGAGGAAACGAUCACUGUUGCACAAUUCUAAAGGGAAGAAAAUAAUUGGCCAUAGAGGGUCUCCUUAAGGGAGACCUUAAGAACAUCUGGAAGAUCGCUGCAUUUCAUUCGCUGAUUAUGAGAUUCCUGCGCUGCUGACUGAGGUGGCCGUGCAGAUAUCCCCUGCAAACAGAAAAUGAGGCUGUCCCUGUGAAAUGACCUGCUGGAGAAAAGGCUCAUUAAUCAGAAACAGGUACAGAGCUACAGCACUGCCUAACGCUGAUCACGUAAACAGGGGCUGACAGUGCUGUCUGAGCCAUUAGGCAGAGCAGUUCGGUAGACACUGAUGUUUUGUCG
rnacentral:lncRNA from 1 species